GGAGGCUUUGAAGUGUGGACGCCAGUCUGCAUGGAGCCGACCUUGAAAUACCACCCUUUAAUGUUUGAUGUUCUAACGUGGACCCGUGAUCCGGGUUGCGGACAGUGUCUGGUGGGUAGUUUGACUGGGGCGGUCUCCUCCUAAAGAGUAACGGAGGAGCACGAAGGUUGGCUAAUCCUGGUCGGACAUCAGGAGGUUAGUGCAAUGGCAUAAGCCAGCUUGACUGCGAGCGUGACGGCGCGAGCAGGUGCGAAAGCAGGUCAUAGUGAUCCGGUGGUUCUGAAUGGAAGGGCCAUCGCUCAACGGAUAAAAGGUACUCCGGGGAUAACAGGCUGAUACCGCCCAAGAGUUCAUAUCGACGGCGGUGUUUGGCACCUCGAUGUCGGCUCAUCACAUCCUGGGGCUGAAGUAGGUCCCAAGGGUAUGGCUGUUCGCCAUUUAAAGUGGUACGCGAGCUGGGUUUAGAACGUCGUGAGACAGUUCGGUCCCUAUCUGCCGUGGGCGCUGGAGAACUGAGGGGGGCUGCUCCUAGUACGAGAGGACCGGAGUGGACGCAUCACUGGUGUUCGGGUUGUCAUGCCAAUGGCACUGCCCGGUAGCUAAAUGCGGAAGAGAUAAGUGCUGAAAGCAUCUAAGCACGAAACUUGCCCCGAGAUGAGUUCUCCCUGAGACUUUAGGUCUCCUGAAGGAACGUUGAAGACGACGACGUUGAUAGGCCGGGUGUGUAAGCGCAGCGAUGCGUUGAGCUAACCGGUACUAAUGAACCGUGAGGCUUAACCUUACA
rnacentral:rRNA from 1 species